UCCGGCCUGAAGACGACCAAUUCAAAAUGGCGGCUGUUGUCGGUAUUGCGUGUGACUGGCUGUGGCUGUUGCUCUCGGGAUACCUAUUGAGAGAAAUGCGAGUCACUCACCUACAGACUAUAAAUUUCCGGUCUCUAAUUGGUUGAUUAACUCCGAGGUAAAAAAUAACAAUCCCACGAUCGCGUACACAAAGCCCGAAGUAGAUGUGUAGGUCAAGGUCACGAGAGGACUGGCUUGUGAGCCGAGUUAGUGGAACAGCCUUCACAUCCAUCAUUGCAGGGCCCAGGGAAUCAGAUAGAUGGCCUGUCAGUCAUAAGCUCCGCCCACCAGAAUGAAUGACAAGUUGGCUGGGGGCCAAAAAUGACUGACGAUCCUGCCACAUAAUUACAUUCAUUAAUUGAUAUGUAAAGUGAGAAGCAUGCGGCCGGGGUGUGAGAGAGAGUGCUGUUCCAAGUGUCAUUGGUAUCUUCAGCCUAUAUUCUCUCCCCAGCUCUUGUCGUCUGCUGCAAAGGACCUUCUCGUCUGCUUGCUUACUCAGGCGGGAAGGUCCGCCAUUGCAACAGACGAGCGGGAAGGCGAGCUUGAGGCGUUGGAUAUAGGGUUACCAAGCAUCUCGCUUGAGAGGUUUCUCUCGACCCACAUCGACUAGCGGGGUCAGCGACUUCAAGGACCAGGCAAAACCAACCGGGUCAGCAAGCUUCAUGGCGAUGAUCGAUUGACCAAACACUCCGUAGCAUUGUUUUAACAGACUGCACCUCAUCUGGGGUAGUGACCCACUUGGUAAAUGGAAGGGCAUUGUUCACCGGGAAGAGAAGAUAAAAGGUCUAACAUUCUAUACUGUGUGGCUGUGUUCCCAGCAACCAGGACCGUUACGUGAGGUUUUCAAGGCAAAUGACUUAGAGCCUGUGGCCAGUGUUUGCUGGGAGUGCUGAGCCAUUGCUCGGGAGCUGGGAUAGUAUUUUGAGUCAACAUCUCUCCAACAGGCAAAGGAGGAGAAACGGGUGUCUCUCGCCUGGUGUAGAGAACAUAACGUCAUGGACACAGGUUUCACAUUAGGACGUAAUGGAUUGUUUAUCUGGGAAACCAUCAUUUGAAUAUGUACAAAUGAAUUUAACAGCGGUUUGACCUAGAUUUUAUGGUAAGUUUGUUCUUGUUUGUUGGAUUCAAUAAAACGUGAAGCAAA